AACGAACGCUGGCGGCAUGCCUAACACAUGCCAGUCGAACGAGACCUUCGGGUCUAGUGGCGCACGGGUGCGUAACGCGUGGGAACCUGCCCUUAGGUUCGGAAUAACUCCCCGAAAGGGGUGCUAAUACCGGAUAAUGUCUUCGGACCAAAGAUUUAUCGCCUUUGGAUGGGCCCGCGUUGGAUUAGCUAGUUGGUAGGGUAAAAGCCUACCAAGGCGACGAUCCAUAGCUGGUCUGAGAGGAUGAUCAGCCAUACUGGGACUGAGACACGGCCCAGACUCCUACGGGAGGCAGCAGUGGGGAAUAUUGGACAAUGGGCGAAAGCCUGAUCCAGCAAUGCCGCGUGAGUGAUGAAGGCCUUAGGGUUGUAAAGCUCUUUUACCCGGGAUGAUAAUGACAGUACCGGGAGAAUAAGCUCCGGCUAACUCCGUG
rnacentral:rRNA from 1 species